rnacentral:rRNA from 1 species
UCCUACGGGAGGCAGCAGUGGGGAAUAUUGCACAAUGGGGGAAACCCUGAUGCAGCCAUGCCGCGUGUGUGAAGAAGGCCUUCGGGUUGUAAAGCACUUUCAGUUGUGAGGAAGAUUUUGUAGUUAAUAGCUUCAAGAUUUGACGUUAGCAACAGAAGAAGCACCGGCUAACUCCGUGCCAGCAGCCGCGGUAAUACGGAGGGUGCGAGCGUUAAUCGGAAUUACUGGGCGUAAAGCGCAUGCAGGCGGUUAGUUAAGCAAGAUGUGAAAGCCCGGGGCUUAACCUCGGAACAGCAUUUUGAACUGGCUAACUAGAGUCUUGUAGAGGGGGGUAGAAUUUCAGGUGUAGCGGUGAAAUGCGUAGAGAUCUGAAGGAAUACCGGUGGCGAAGGCGGCCCCCUGGACAAAGACUGACGCUCAGAUGCGAAAGCGUGGGGAGCAAACAGGAUUAGAUACCCUGGUAGUCCACGCCGUAAACGAUGUCUACUUGGAGGUUGUGGCCUUGAGCCGUGGCUUUCGGAGCUAACGCGUUAAGUAGACCGCCUGGGGAGUACGGUCGCAAGAUUAAAACUCAAAUGAAUUGACGG